ACAUACCUAGUGGCUGCCUUUCAUAUACAGUGCAUCCUUAACAUAUUUGGUCUUGAGGACAUAACGUCUAGAAAAUGUAGUCCUCAACUUUGCCUAAUUGGCAAGAUAAAACACUAAAAUCCGGAUAAUAGCACUGAGUCCCCUAGAAAAAGCUGCAUGGCAGUAUGGACGAUUCAGAGUCUGACCUGUGAGCCCAGCCCUCCAUGUAGCAGAUAUAAAUUGUUUCAUUAACUCUCAUUUGUUUGAACUAGUUCCUAUGGGGAGGCCCCUGAGCUGGAGUUUGGAAUGGGUCCCAGUCUAUCAAACAUUGACUUUUUGCUUCAUGUGUUAGGAGAGCCCCUGGCAAGUUCACAUUUAAUUACAGGCUGUUCUCUGGCCACAGUCCUGUGAGCUAGGAUUUCAUCCUCCCAAGCAAUCCUUCCUUCUUCCCCUGAGGGCAGAACUGCUCACCUGUCCUGGAGAUCGCUCUCCUACCAGGUGCAACACUGCUCCUCUCUGAGGUAGCACCAAGGGGUGGGGUAGUGCGGCAUACAGAGAAAGACAGGAAGAUAACAUUUUUAUUUUCUUCUUUGUCCAGAUUUUCCCUCACUUAGCUCUGGAAAGCAGCAUCAAGAGCUCUGAUUAUUACUGGAAAGGUCAUGAGAUGGGCUUCCAUCUGUCCAUCCUGUCCCUGCCCUGGUCCCUGAUCAUGCCCAUCUGAGGGAGUCCAGAGGCACCUAACAUUUAUGGUCACUUCAUACUCAGAGUCUGCACAUUCUUUUCCUACUGAUGAUGUGGAAGAGACUUGGAAAUGUUCCUUUCCAGGAGAUGACUGAUACACAGAAAGAUGGGGUCAGAUGAGGCCACAAGACCAGAGCCAAAAUCUUACCCAACUCCUUCAGGCAACAUUGUGACUGUAGGACAUGCUGCACUGAUACAGGAGUGGUCUUGGAACUACCCAGGUUCUACCAUUGAUAGGCAGUGUCAAGGUCCAGCCUUUCUGGGUCCCUCAGGCAGGUGAGGCGAGCCUGCAGGCAUGCUGUGGACCGCUGCAACUUGCUAGUCCCAGGGUCACAGCAAGUGGAAGUGCCGGGCACCACACAUGGCUUUGAGCAAAACCCACUUCCUCCAUCCCGGAGAGCAUGAAGCCGUUACACCACCAUCAAUCAAGGGGAACCCACGGGCUGCGCUCACACCGUUGAAGCAGGUGAGCAAAUGGAAGACUAGUCCAGGAGCAGGAGGAAGAAAAGAUAGCUCCCAGCUCAGCUUUUCUUCGCAUAUUCAGGAACUACUACACACGUUGUUAUGUUGGUCCUCGUUUUGUUUCCCUUUCAAAAACACCUGUGUGCUGUUUGCAGGGGUAUAGCUCUGGUUACACAGACCUCCUCACACAUUUCUUUUUAAUUUAAAGAAGGAUUAUCUCAAAACUUUAUUAGGAUGUAUUUUAAAUGAAAAUAUCUUGUUAUCUAGCGUGCAAUUGAUUCUUUCAGUUUGGUUUGUUUAGUUGAACUCCCUUUAAGAAAGAAUCUCUCCUACCCCUGGGCAAAAUGAAAACAACAACAACAGCCUGUGGAAAACACAUUCUGAUCCUAUCACAUCCUAGGAAACAGGGGGAGAACAAUAAAAGUUCAGUCAAUAUUUUAUAAAUUCAAGGUCAAUAUUCUGUGUCGCUGUCAACAGUGGAUAAGCCCCAAAGGACUUCUGUUAUUAUUAAAUUAGAACUGAUCCAUUUUUAUUUUAAGUAUAGUGGCUUUAACUAUUCAAUGGACAGAAAAAAAAACCCAGAAUAAAAAUUCAAGUGAGCAGAUGUAUUUCAUAAGAUAAUUGCAAACCACUUAAGGGUUUCAAUACAAAGCAAUAGAGACCAUCUCAUCUCUAUGGGUAUUCACCCAUCUUUAGCACUCACGGAUUUAUUGCUUCUAUUUUUGACCUAGAGCCUGAGGAGUAAUGUUGGGUCACUUUGACCACCCCAUCAGGUGCCUUAGAAAGCAAUGGAUAUACAUUAUGUAUGUUACCAUAUCUUGGAUGGUAGAUGGGUGCUAUUAUGAUUUGAGAUAGACUGUACUUUUCUACUCAGAGAUUUUUCCCCUUUGUAUAUAUUUAUAUAAUAUACAUGGCCUUUCAUUGCAAGCUUUUUGUUGGCAAUGGAAUCUAAUUGAAUUGGUUAAGAAAUAGAUCUAUAGAGUUUUUUUCCAUAGUAUUUUUCAUUGCUAAGAUAUUUUGUAAUAAGCCAAGUUUAGGGAUAACCCAAUUUAUGUGUUCUCUAAGUGAUCUAUUUCCAAGUUGGUUUUUUCUCUUUGCUUAGGGACUUUUAUUUUCCAUCAGGGUCCGUGGAAACCUCCGCCAGUCAUAAAACAGUAUUUAAAUUAUUUCCUUUAGGAUAUUUACAGAAUGAGUUGACACUUAAUUCAACAUUAGAGUAGUAUAAGUUUUCAUCUUAAAUUAUUUUGCAUUUUUUAUAUUCACAUUUUUGGAAUCUUCAUAACUAAGCAGAAUUUUUCCAACCCAUCUCUACUGGUCACCACCAGUGAGAGGCUGUAUGAUUUGUAAACUCUUGUUUUGGGGUACCUACGGUGACCAGUAUUUUGUUAUGCAUGUUAUGUUUGUUAUUAUCUUACACAGAUACAGCCAACUUUUUAAAUGUUCAGGUAAAAACAUUAAAUGUAUUUAUCUACCAAGUUCUAAAAAUUGCAAUACAACAUAUAUGCUAUCUAGAAUUAUUUGUUGGAAUAUUUACUGAAAAUAAAUAUAUUAGCAGAAGAAAAUUUCUACUAAUAAAAAACUCAGUUGAUUUA